rnacentral:misc_RNA from 1 species
CAUCUCUACCCCUUUCUCUCUCUCUCUCUCUUCCAGAUGAUGGGCUUCAACAUCCUCAAAAGCUCACCUGUUUCUGCAACCAAAGCAGUUCUCAUCACCCCCACAGCCAAACCCACUUUCUCCAAGGUUCUUUCUCUGCUUCAUUCUGUUCCUAACUCCUGCAAAACCCAUUUCAGAUUUCCUUCUUCCAAACCCGCAGUCUAUUCCAUUUCUCUUGCUGGGUUCGGUGGCUCUUUCUACCGGAGAAAGCGUAAUUUUCGUGGUGGAUUAAUCGCCAUGGCUGCUCCUGGGUCCGUCCAGAAGUCAGAGGAGGAGUGGCGUGCGAUUUUAUCGCCAGAUCAGUUUCGGAUUUUGAGGCAGAAAGGCACAGAGUAUCCAGGCACAGGAUUAUAUGACAAGUUUUUUGAAGAGGGUGUCUACAACUGUGCAGGAUGUGGGACUCCUCUCUAUAAAUCUGUAACCAAAUUUAACUCUGGUUGUGGUUGGCCAGCUUUCUAUGAAGGUUUUCCGGGAGCUAUAGCUUGCAAUCCGGAUCCAGAUGGCAUGAGAACUGAAAUUACAUGUGCAGCUUGUGGUGGACAUCUGGGGCAUGUUUUCAAAGGUGAAGGAUUUCCAACACCCACAGAUGAACGCCAUUGUGUCAAUAGUAUAUCACUCAAGUUUGUUCCUGCAAAUUCUUCCCUGUGAAAGUCUAUCAUAGUGGUUAUCUUUGAUGGAAACUAUCUGAUUCUGUAUAAAACGUGGAAAUAGUAUCAUGUUUACACAAAUAAAACCUGAUGCUUCACUUGGUGCCGAGUUGCAGUUUCUUUCAUAUGUGCAAGAAACUUGCUUAGAUAUGUAAGAUGAUAGUUAUGUAAUAAAGAGAUGUUAUUAUGCAAGCGUGCUUGUUGGCAUGAAAGUAAUAUGUUACUUUUAAAAGUAACAUAUUAUGGGUGCUUUCAAUGGAGAAAAGUUUUCCGUAGAGAAAAGUAACACAUUUCUCUCUUUUUUUUUUUUAGUGUAAAAAGAAAA